rnacentral:miRNA from 1 species
GGUUCCUCAGACAAAAGAAAAAAAAAAAAAACAGACACAAUAUAUGCAUGAAUUUUUCUCUUUUUGCCUUUAUUGUUCCGUGCCAAUAUCUCAGAAUCUCAGACACUCCUCGU